UCGUUCUGCCUGCUGACCUGAACUGGUGGCAAGCCUGCAUCCCGACGGAGUGCCAGGAGGCUCAGCACCACUCCACCACUUCCAGGACAUCUGGGAUGCAGUGUGGUGGUAGCACUGCCUGGAACCAUCACAGUCUGCAGAGAGGCACCAUCUUUUUUUUGGAAGAUCUUGGGUUUGAAAUGCGAUCCCUGAAAUGAGACCAGGAUAGCUGUCAGAUCCUCUUCUCUGAAGAGAGUUUCACUGAGGAACAGCUUGAGAUAAGCAGUGUGAACCAAAAGAGAUCCUGAUGGCUGUCAGAUCAGAGUGGCAGUUGGCCAAGAAGACAAAUUGCCUUCCGGCUGCAGGCACUUGCCAUAGCUGUUGUGGUGUGCCUUGGAACGUGAUGCCCUCCACAGGUGGCAGCCUGCAGCAAAAAAUUGGUUGGACCUGCAGAGAUAGAGCCCAGUGACAAGGGCUGGCACUUUGGAUUGCAACAUGACCGAAACGAAAAGCGUGAACACUACAAGAAUUUCUGCUCUAUGGAAAAAUGUUAUUUUUGGAUUCUUCAGGAAGGCGUGCAUAUAAAACCACCGGCUCCCUGCACUCUCUCUGUUGUCCGAUUUGUUAAACUCAAGUGGUCCCAUGUGCGAGUAGCAUGACUGCCAGAAGUGCUCUGCAGCCAUCUGCUUUUUUGGUAAGUCUUUGAUUAUUUCUUUGUCUAUAUUUCUGUCCGAAAUUAGAACUGGCAAUUCAAUUGGUUGGUUAAUAUUGGGUUUUUUAUAAUUUAACAUUUCCAACUUAUGGCUAGGAAAUAGCAGCAAGGUAAUAAAAAGCACAAGAAAUAAACUUUCCUACUGAAGUC